GCCCUGAUGGUCUAGCGGUAUGAUUCUCCCUUAGGGUUGUCUUCACGACGAUUCAAUCUGGGAGAGGUCCCAGGUUCGAUCCCUGGUUAGGGCC
rnacentral:tRNA from 1 species